GGGGGUGGUGGUGUUCAUCUAAAGCAGCUGCGUUAAUAUCAGGGAACAACCAGGACAUUCAGACAUGAGCAAACUAUGUGAAUGGAAACAUUGUUACUUUAACAGUUUUUAACGUUUUUCAAUUGAUUGCAACAAACUCCAUCAAAACAUCAAACAAAAACUCCGUGACUCCAUCUGGAAAAUUAUGAUAUGAUUUCGUGUUUUUGACCCCCUGAAUUUACCGUUGGACACACCUCUGCAUGAGACGGGACGCUCCAGACUGCAGCCAUACCAGUCUCUACUGGGAGGACUGGGAGGACUGGAAGCUUUAAUCAAACCCUUUGAUAGAGAAUGUGAGUCUGAUCCGUUAUUCCGGUCCGGGACCUUUCAGCAUGGGGAUACUGGGACUUCAUUAAAACAGCUUUUUAGGAGUUUCUGCUUCUCUCACUUCCCGUAGACUACUAAAUCCAGACCAAGCCAAUAUUCUAGUCGGUCUACAGCCAGAUGAGAUGCUGCUGAGGCGGUUCCAGAAGGGGACUGGAUGAGUUGGAGGGAGAAGAUGGUCUGCAGCAUCCUGCUGCUCCUCAUCCUGACCUCCUGUGUCCUCUGGAACAUUUGUAGUGAAUGUGACCCCAGACCUCCUAUCAGG